CUCAAAUGAAUUGACGGGGACCCGCACAAGCGGUGGAUGAUGUGGUUAAUUCGAUGCAACGCGAAAACCUUACCCACCUUUGACAUGUACGGAACCCUUUAGAGAUAGAGGGGUGCUCGAAAGAGAGCCGUAACACAGGUGCUGCAUGGCUGUCGUCAGCUCGUGUCGUGAGAUGUUGGGUUAAGUCCCGCAACGGGCGCAACCCUUGUCAUUAGUUGCUACAUUCAGUUGGGCACUCUAAUGAGACUGCCGGUGACAAGCCGGAGGAAGGUGGGGAUGACGUCAAGUCCUCAUGGCCCUUAUAGGUGGGGCUACACACGUCAUACAAUGGCUGGUACAAAGGGUUGCCAACCCGCGAGGGGGAGCCAAUCCCAUAAAGCCAGUCGUAGUCCGGAUCGUAGUCUGCAACUCGACUACGUGAAGUCGGAAUCGCUAGUAAUCGUGGAUCAGAAUGUCACGGUGAAUACGUUCCCGGGUCUU
rnacentral:rRNA from 1 species